rnacentral:tRNA from 1 species
ACCUGGGUGGUUCAGUCAGUUAAGCAUCUGACUUUGGUUCAGGUCAUGAUCUCUCAGUUUGUGGGUUCAAGCCCUGUCUCAGGUU